UCUCUCUGCUCUCCUUUUCAAUAUUCAAAGAGAGCACAAGGGAGUUUUAAACACAACAGUGGAAUUCACCUGAGGGCCAUAGCUCUCACCGCCAGUUAUUUCUCUUGCUCAUGAUGAAAGGAUGGAAUCAGGCCAUGCCUACCUCUUUCUGGUUUCAGUGGACUUAGCCGUCUUGAUGGUGCUGCCAUCCUGAGCCGUGUCUCUUUCCUGAGGUGUAUCUCUGACAGGUAACAGUCCAUCUGAUCAUCAAGAAAACAUGGAGAUGAAACUCAUUUGCUAUCAUGCAGGUCCAACCAUUAGGACAUCACCUUGUCAUUUAUAAAGUUCACACUCAAGAACUAUUCAGUCAACUUACAAAAAUAAGCCUCAAAACAAGCAAGCAAGCAAGCAAGAAAACAAACCAACGAACAGAACAUGCUGAUAUUUUAAAGCUACAUGGAGCUUCAUUGUGGACAGUUCUCCAGUUUACCCAAGACAGUCUCCUGAGUAUGACCAGUGGCAUUCUGAGGCCAGGACCUGGUGACUGGGUUUCUGAACUAGUGACAGCUAAGGAAAGACAUCUCUCUUUUCCCUCUUCCUCAGUUCCACAUGAAGCAGAAGCCUGGAGCCUGCAGAAGUUCCCUAGAAUACAAAUCCAUCGCUCCUCAAACAGCUCCUCAACUUUUGGAGCACUCCUAGAAGCUGAGUCUUUCUCUCCAGGUCCACUGUUCCAGGCCCACCCGUGACAGACCUCCAAGGCUCUCUUCCUUUAACCCCGUCUGCUGCUGCUUCCUCAUGAGGGGCGGUUUGUAGCAUUCGCACUGUUUGCAAAGGCAUUCAAGGCCUUGCACAUUUGGCUGAGCCUUAUUUCCUGUGCACUCCUUUUCAGCAGCACACCUCCACACCCCCUGUUAUUCUAUCCAGCUUUGUUCUAACAAUGCCAGUUUGUGUCAGGUACUGCCAUGUGUGCUGGAGCUACAGACUGAGAAAUAACUGGUACUGACCCCCAAGGAGCUCACGUUUCAGCCCCCUGCAAUGUUGAUGGCACAGCAGAGUGCACAUUGUAUAAACGGCACCACUGCAUCCUCACUGUGGUCACAAAGGUGGGCGGUACCCUAAGCCUCUUUUUAUAAGGAGAAGCUGGGAUUUGGAGGGGUUAUGUACUUCAGAUCACAUUGCUAGUCUGAGAUG